GCUGCUAUAGUGUAGUGGUUAUCACUCGGGAUUUUGAUAUUAUCUAAAUUCCCGGAACCCAGGUUCGAACCCUGGUAGCAGCU
rfam:Phlebia centrifuga strain FBCC195 PHLCENscaffold_1449, whole genome shotgun sequence.